ACUUCAUGGUUAGGAAAUUACACAAGUUUUUCAUUAAAUCUCUCCCAAACUUCAUAUAGAGGCUCCCUAUUGAGUUGAAAAAAAUUAAAAAUUUCUUCCAGUAAUU
rfam:Capsicum annuum cultivar Zunla-1 chromosome 5, whole genome shotgun sequence